rnacentral:rRNA from 1 species
CACGUAGGGCGCAAGCGUUGUCCGGAAUUAUUUGGGCGUAAAGAGCUCGUAGGCGGUCUGUUGCGUCUGCUGUGAAACCCGGGGCUUAACCCCUGGCUUGCAGUGGAUACGGACAGACUGGGAGGUAGGUAGGGGAGAAUGGAUUCCCGGUGUAGCGGUGAAAUGCGCAGAUAUCGGGAGGAACACCGAUGGCGAAGGCAGCCCCCUGGGCUGACGAGUUGACGCUGAGUGCACGAAAGCGUGGGGAGCAAACAGG